rnacentral:lncRNA from 1 species
AUAUAAUUUCCAUGUAUCUAUACAUACUUUGUAACAUACUCAGAUAUAAAAAUCUAAUCCUUUUUAAAAGAAGUAUGCAUACAUACUCGUAUGAAUAUGUACUCCCUUCAUGAAAAACAGUACGCCUAUAUACCCUAUUUACAAAGUAUGAAUAUGUACUCUCAUGAAAAAAGUAUGAAUAUGUACUCUUAUAUUAUUAUAUAAAAAUAAAGUACGAAUAUAUAUGUACAUACUUUCUUUUUACAUACUUUAUUUGGACGUAUAUGUUCAUACUUUAUUCACGGAAAUCAUGUAUUUGUCAAAAUAAUAAAAUAGUAUGUACAUAUACUCACUUGUAGCGAAAAGUAUACACAUACACUCCAAGUAUGAAUGCCUAUAUACCUCCUUCGAAAAACUAUAGUGUGCACACAUUUACACUCCCAGCGAUCUGAUGCACCUCCGGUGAUCAUUAAAUAAUAUGCACGUGUAUAUACUUGCCUUCAAAGAAGUCACGUACACAUCAACAGUACCCAUAGCUACCAUAAACCAAUCCUAUCCAAAUCUGUUACGAGAGUAAACGGGCCACACCCCACCCUCGACGUCGACGUCUCCGUUCAGUUACCUCCCGCGACGUUUCCCGUGUGUGCGUCGGUGCCUAUAUAUCAGAUGCGUGUAGUUACUCGUACGUGUAGAAAAGACAUAUAUAUAUAUAUAUAUAUAUAUAUAUAUAUAUAUAUAUAUAUAUAUAUAUAUAUAUAUAUAUAUAUAUAUAUAUAUAUAUAUAUUGCUCCAUCAAUACAUAUAGUUUCAUACUUUAAUUGUAUAAUGCUUCAAAUGUAUUAUCAUAAUAUGUGCGCAUAUACAUAUAGAUUAGUGUCGUAUAAUGCUUAUUUGAAAACCUGUUUUAAACCCAAAACAAAUAAUAAAAUAAAAAUGAAACCAAAAAAGGAAAAAAAGAUAGCUCUUUAGUCCUAAUUUGUAACACCAACCAAGACUGAAGGAGUGCUACGUGGCGGCCUAGGGACACGUCUGGCGCAAACCCUUUAGUCGCGGUUGACAUCAAGAACCGGGACUAAAUGUUCACCUUUAGUCCCGGUUCCUUGACCCGAGACUAAAAGGUGUGCCUUUAGUCCCGAAAUCAUUGUCCCAGUUGGGAAACUAGGAUUUAAGGGGUUCCCAACCAAGACAACUGCCCCGCCUACACUAGUGACAUAGUCCACCAUAACAUUAGAUCUCAUAUAAUAACAUAAAACAUGGAAUGUAUCAAUUGUCUCCUCUAUUAUUAGCAUCAGUAGCCUCACUAUCUAUUCAAUGCACCAUUUGAUCUACCGAAGCUAUUGUUGAAGGCAGCUAUCUAUUGAGCUUCAAAUUGCGUCCUUAUUGUCAUCAUAUAUGCUCUCACAUCCGACUUCAACGUGUUGAGGUUACAAGAAUGAUCCAUAUCAACCUUCGCUCCUCAAUGUUGGCCUUGUGUUGCGCC